GUUAACAUGAAUAUGUUUCUUCUUAUGACAUAAAAUAAUUCCACGCUGUUCGUGUCUGUGGGUGAAAUGUGAGGCCGGUCGGCUCCUCUGAGCGCUGGUUUCCUGUAAGUAGAGAGGAAGUGAGUUUAGCUGAGCCUCCGUUUAGUGUGAGAGAGCAGGAGGAGAGUGAGAGCUGUGCUGAGGCAGGACUAACUCCACCCUGACAUCAAGAAGAUGGAGGAAGAGGAUGGAGCAGGAUCUGCAGCAUCCAGCUGUGUGUCUGUGAGGAGUGACCGGUCCAAAGGAGAACCUCCAGUGUUCAGUAAUGAACCUGCAGCAACAAUAGCUUCUGCACAGUGUGGAGAAAGAUCCAGAAGCAGAGCUGGACUGCAGACAGCCAGUCAGAGCAGCUGUGUACAAACAGAUGUUGGUCUGCAGGAGGUUUUAGAUGAACAUAAGAUCAGUCUGAGGAGGAG